rnacentral:rRNA from 1 species
GUGCCAGCAGCCGCGGUAAUACGGAAGGUCCGGGCGUUAUCCGGAUUUAUUGGGUUUAAAGGGAGCGCAGGCCGGCGGUUAAGCGUGCUGUGAAAUGUGGGGGCUCAACCUCGGCAGUGCAGCGCGGACUGGCCGUCUUGAGUGUGCGGUAGGAAGGCGGAAUUCGUGGUGUAGCGGUGAAAUGCUUAGAUAUCACGAGGAACUCCGAUUGCGAAGGCAGCUUUCCGCAGCAUUACUGACGCUGAGGCUCGAAGGUGCGGGUAUCGAACAGGAUUAGAUACCCUGGUAGUCCGCACGGUAAACGAUGGAUGCCCGCUGUGCGCCGUUCAGGUGCGCGGCCAAGCGAAAGCGUUAAGCAUCCCACCUGGGGAGUACGCCGGCAACGGUGAAACUCAAAGGAAUUGACGGGGGCCCGCACAAGCGGAGGAACAUGUGGUUUAAUUCGAUGAUACGCGAGGAACCUUACCCGGGCUUGAAUUGCCCGCGUCGGCGCCGGAGACGGCGUCUCCCUUCGGGGCGCGGGUGAAGGUGCUGCAUGGUUGUCGUCAGCUCGUGCCGUGAGGUGUCGGCUUAAGUGCCAUAACGAGCGCAACCCCUCUCCGCAGUUGCCAUCGGGUCAUGCCGGGCACUCUGCGGACACUGCCACCGCAAGGUGUGAGGAAGGUGGGGACGACGUCAAAUCAGCACGGCCCUUACGUCCGGGGCUACACACGUGUUACAAUGGGGCAUACAGAGAGCUGGCGGCCGGCGACGUCCGCCGAAUCAUGAAAGUGUCCCUCAGUUCGGACUGGGGUCUGCAACCCGACCCCACGAAGCUGGAUUCGCUAGUAAUCGCGCAUCAGCCAUGGCGCGGUGAAUACGUUCCCGGGCCUUGUACACACCGCCCGU